GAACUGAGAUGUACUGUCCAUGGUGUGCCCCGCCUCUCGCCCACUGACUGCUGAAUAUAGGCACCAACACCCCUCGCGACCCCACUCGGGAUAAGCGUGCUAGAAAAUGGAUGGAUUUUGAACAGAAGGCAGAACAAGCCAGUAUCAGGAUGCCUUCCUGAUCCACUGGAUAAGCCUGGACCUUCUACCCCGCCUGGAAGGAAUUAUUUGAGUCCCACUGAGCAAGGGGAAACCUCUACCAGAUCUGUUCAAGUCUGCUUUAGAAAAACCCGGUGACAGUCCGCUCCAUUGCUCCUCUGGACCCAAGGCUAGUCUGCCUGUCCGCCCUCCAACGAGUUCAUUCAUAUCUGGACAAAACCCCACAAACUGGAUCCUAAGGAAAACCAAGAGCCCCUCAAAUAGUUUCCGGUUCCAGUUCACCAGUCCGCUGAGGUCCAACUGAGUUUACCCUGCUGUAUAACCUCUCACUCUGUUUUUGUUAACCUACAAAUAAACCAGUUAACUUUUACCUUUUCAUCACAUGAAGAGGGAGGUCUCUCAUACAAUAAUUUUUGCCUGUGAAUGGUCUGAUUCUAUUGUAUGACAUUUAAAUUCAUCAAACAGAUCAGUCUAAUCUAUGAUAUUAUUUGAACCCUAUUUUAAAUAUUACAUAUCCAGUUGUUUGUUUCAUUCCCUCUUAUUUGUUCAAAGAAUUAAAUUCAACUCUAACUCUUAUCAUUCAACUGUUCUGUUAUCAUUCAUCCGAACCCUGUUACAGUCAACCUAUUUACUUGCUACACUGUUAUACUUUUUCUUAUAAAGAAGACAUAUAGACUGUUUGCUGAGGACAAGUAGAAAACAUUAAAUCAGUAUCUAAUGUUUAUGUAAUGUGUAUUUUCAGCUACACAGUAAACUCCACAACAUUAAAUAUGUAGUGUCAAAGUACAUUGACUGUUUUAGAG